GAUGAAGAACGCAGCGAAAUGCGAUACUUGGUGUGAAUUGCAGAAUCCCGUGAACCAUCGAGUCUUUGAACGCAAGUUGCGCCCGAAGCCAUUAGGCCGAGGGCACGCCUGCCUGGGCGUCACACGUCGUUGCCCCCCCAUCUACUCCUUCGGGAUUGCGGGGGGCGGAUGAUGGCCUCUCGUGCGCCUCGUCGCGCGGUUGGCCUAAAUGCCAAGUCCUCGGCGACGCACGCCACGACAAUCGGUGGUUGCGAAACCUCGGUUGCCUGUCGUGUGCGGUCGUCGCGCAUCGAGGGCUCGAAAAAAUUGCCGGGCUUCGGCUCGACUUUCAACGCGACCCCAGGUCAGGCGGGGUUACCCGCUGAAUUUAAGCAUAUCAAUAAACGGAGGA
rnacentral:misc_RNA from 1 species